AUUGAACGCUGGCGGCAGGCCUAACACAUGCAAGUCGAACGAGUGGCGGACGGGUGAGUAAUGUCUGGGAAACGGCCUGAUGGAGGGGGAUAAGUGCUGGAAACGGUAGCUAAUACCGCAUAACAUCGGAUGUGGCCAGAUGGGAUUAGCUAGUAGGUGGGGUAAAGGCUCACCAAGGCGACGAUCCCUCGCUGGUCUGAGAGGAUGACCAGCCACACUGGAACUGAGACACGGUCCAGACUCCUACGGGAGGCAGCAGUGGGGAAUAUUCGACAAUGGGCGAAAGCCUGAUGCAGCCACGCCGCGUGAAUGAAGAAGGUUUUCGGGUUGUAAAGUACUGUCAUUGGGGAGGCGUUAUCUGCAGAAGAAGCACCGGCUAACUCCGUGCCAGCAGCCGCGGUAAUAC
rnacentral:rRNA from 1 species